GCCAGUGUGGUGUAGUGGCUUGAGCCUUGGACUGCAUCUCUGAAGUCCAGGGUUCAAAUCCCUGCUCAGGGA